rnacentral:rRNA from 1 species
UACGGAGGGUGCAAACGUUGCUCGGAAUCAUUGGGCGUAAAGCGCACGUAGGCGGCCUGUUAAGUCGGGUGUGAAAGCCCUGGGCUCAACCCAGGAAGUGCACUCGAAACUGGCGGGCUUGAAUAUGGAAGAGGGUCGCGGAAUUCCCGGUGUAGAGGUGAAAUUCGUAGAUAUCGGGAGGAACACCAGUGGCGAAGGCGGCGACCUGGGCCAUUACUGACGCUGAGGUGCGAAAGCGUGGGGAGCAAACAGG